rnacentral:rRNA from 1 species
GACGAAGGUGGCAAGCGUUGUUCGGAAUCACUGGGCGUAAAGAGUUCGUAGGCGGCUGAGCAAGUCGGGUGUGAAAGCCUCCGGCUCAACUGGAGAAUUGCGCCCGAUACUGCACAGCUUGAGGGCAGGAGGGGAGAGUGGAAUUCCUGGUGUAGCGGUGAAAUGCGUAGAUAUCAGGAGGAACGCCGGCGGCGAAGGCGACUCUCUGGUCUGCUCCUGACGCUGAGGAACGAAAGCCAGGGGAGCGAACGGG